AAUCCAUAGGUUAAUGAGGCGAACCGGGGGAACUGAAACAUCUAAGUACCCCGAGGAAAAGAAAUCAACCGAGAUUCCCCCAGUAGCGGCGAGCGAACGGGGAGGAGCCCAGAGCCUGAAUCAGCAUGUGUGUUAGUGGAAGCGUCUGGAAAGGCGCGCGAUACAGGGUGACAGCCCCGUACACAAAAGCGCAUGUGCUGUGAGCUCGAUGAGUAGGGCGGGACACGUGGUAUCCUGUCUGAAUAUGGGGGGACCAUCCUCCAAGGCUAAAUACUCCUGACUGACCGAUAGUGAACCAGUACCGUGAGGGAAAGGCGAAAAGAACCCCGGCGAGGGGAGUGAAAAAGAACCUGAAACCGUGUACGUACAAGCAGUGGGAGCACAGGUUUACCUGUGUGACUGCGUACCUUUUGUAUAAUGGGUCAGCGACUUAUAUUCUGUAGCAAGGUUAACCGUAUAGGGGAGCCGUAGGGAAACCGAGUCUUAACCGGGCGUUAAGUUGCAGGGUAUAGACCCGAAACCCGGUGAUCUAGCCAUGGGCAGGU
rnacentral:rRNA from 1 species